UGACUGUAGCGUUACUGACGCUGAAGCUCGAAGGUGCGGGUAUCGAACAGGAUUAGAUACCCUGGUAGUCCGCACAGUAAACGAUGGAUGCUCGUUGUUCGCCCAUUUGAGGGUGAGUGACUUAGGGAAACCGUUAAGCAUCCCACCUGGGGAGUACGCCGGCAACGGUGAAACUCAAAGGAAUUGACGGGGGCCCGCACAAGCGGAGGAACAUGUGGUUUAAUUCGAUGAUACGCGAGGAACCUUACCCGGGCUUGAACUGUAGGAGAACGAUUCAGAGAUGAUGAGGUCCUUCGGGACUCCUAUGGAGGUGCUGCAUGGUUGUCGUCAGCUCGUGCCGUGAGGUGUCGGCUUAAGUGCCAUAACGAGCGCAACCCUUUUCGUCAGUUGCCAUCAGGUCAUGCUGGGCACUCUGGUGAUACUGCCGCCGCAAGGUGUGAGGAAGGUGGGGAUGACGUCAAAUCAGCACGGCCCUUACGUCCGGGGCUACACACGUGUUACAAUGGGGCAUACAGAAGGCCGGUUCGUGGCAACACGGAUCCAAUCUUUAAAGUGCCUCGUAGUUCGGAUUGGGGUCUGCAACCCGACCCCAUGAAGCUGG
rnacentral:rRNA from 1 species